rnacentral:rRNA from 1 species
CCGCUAGGAGCGCUGGACCCAAAUCAAGUGAGAAUGCCGGUAUGAGUAACGAAAAGAUCAGUGAGACUCUGAUCCGCCGAAAACCCAAGGAUUCCUGAGGAAGGCUCGUCCUCUCUGGGUAAGUGGGGACCUAAGGCUAGGCCGAAUGGCGUUGUCGACGGACAACAGGUUGAAAUUCCUGUAACACCGAAAGCCGUUAUGAGCAAUGGGAU